GGAAGGCCCAGACAGCCAGGAUGUUGGCUUAGAAGCAGCCAUCAUUUAAAGAAAGCGUAAUAGCUCACUGGUCGAGUCGGCCUGCGCGGAAGAUGUAACGGGGCUAAACCAUGCACCGAAGCUGCGGCAGCGACGCUUAUGCGUUGUUGGGUAGGGGAGCGUUCUGUAAGCCUGUGAAGGUGUGCUGUGAGGCAUGCUGGAGGUAUCAGAAGUGCGAAUGCUGACAUAAGUAACGAUAAAGCGGGUGAAAAGCCCGCUCGCCGGAAGACCAAGGGUUCCUGUCCAACGUUAAUCGGGGCAGGGUGAGUCGACCCCUAAGGCGAGGCCGAAAGGCGUAGUCGAUGGGAAACAGGUUAAUAUUCCUGUACUUGGUGUUACUGCGAAGGGGGGACGGAGAAGGCUAUGUUGGCCGGGUGACGGUUGUCCCGGUUUAAGCGUGUAGGCUGGUUUUCCAGGCAAAUCCGGAAAAUCAAGGCUGAGGCGUGAUGACGAGGCACUACGGUGCUGAAGCGACAAAUGCCCUGCUUCCAGGAAAAGCCUCUAAGCAUCAGGUAACAUCAAAUCGUACCCCAAACCGACACAGGUGGUC
rnacentral:rRNA from 1 species